rnacentral:rRNA from 1 species
UACGUAGGUGGCAAGCGUUGUCCGGAAUUACUGGGCGUAAAGGGCGUGUAGGUGGUAUACCAAGUCAGUUGUGAAAGUCUGCGGCUCAACCGCAGGAAUGCAAAUGAAACUGGUAGACUUGAGGGCAAGAGAGGAAAGUGGAAUUCCUAGUGUAGCGGUGAAAUGCGUAGAUAUUAGGAGGAACACCAGUGGCGAAGGCGACUUUCUGGAUUGGCCCUGACACUGAGGCGCGAAAGCGUGGGGAG